GNNGUAANNUGAGUAGGNNCAUCUCCUGUGCCUUCUCCUGCCUGGAGAACUACGUGGGGAGGGACUCAGGGCAGGGGACUACCUUGCUGUUUCCUGUUGGGGAUGCUCCUUUUCCCCCUUUUGGGAAGAGUGGAUGUUAUCUUUGAGAAAACAAUUUGUCUUCGAUUAAAGGGGUUUUUAAUGAGCCUAGUCCCCGUUUAAACUGUUCGUCCGGCCUCCUCUCACCCUCAACAUUAUCCAAAACGGGCCUCAGAGGAUGAUCAGGCAAACUGGAACUGAGCCAUUUUCCAUACUCCUCUUAUAACCAGCAGUGGGGAAUCUAGGACAAUGGGUGACGGCCUGAUCCUGCCAUGCCUUGUGUGACAAGAAUGCCUUCGGAUUGUAAAGCACUUUAAGUUGGGAGGAAGGGCAUUAACCUAAUACGUUGGUGUCUUGACGUUACCGACCGAAUAAGCACCGGCUAACUCUGUGACAGACCUUCGCGGCACUACAGAGGGGGCAAGCGUUAAUCGGAAUUACUGGGCGUAAAGCGCGCGCUGGUGGCUCGCUAAGGUGGAUGUGAAAUCCCCGGGCUCAACCUGUGAAACUGCAUUCUCUCUGACCGAGCUAGAGAUAUGGUAGAGGGUGGUGGAAUUUCCUGUGUACUAGUGAAAUGCGUAGAUAUAGGAAGGAUAGCAGUGGCGAAGGCGACCACCUGGACUGAUACUGACACUGAUGUGCGAAUACGUGUCGGAGUACACAGGAUUAGAUCCCCUGGCAGGCAGCAUUCCUAGACGAUGUUCACUCGUCGUUGGGAGCUCUUGAGCUCUUAGUGGCUCUCUUCACGCUAUUAAGGUGAGCGCCUGGGGAGUACGCACGCUUCGAUCUGACUCACGNAUGUCUCGAGNNNAGCCNUAAGUCUUUGGCUUUUCUGGUUAUCACACACUUAAACCCGNUCNNGUANUAU
rnacentral:rRNA from 1 species